rnacentral:tRNA from 3 species
GGCUGUAGCUCAGCUGGGAGAGCACCUGGUUUGCAACCAGGGGGUCGGCGGUUCAAUCCCGCUCAGCUCCACCAUU